rnacentral:rRNA from 2 species
AACGAACGCUGGCGGCAGGCUUAACACAUGCAAGUCGAGCGCCCCGCAAGGGGAGCGGCAGACGGGUGAGUAACGCGUGGGAAUCUACCUUUUGCUACGGAAUAACGCAGGGAAACUUGUGCUAAUACCGUAUGUGUCCUUCGGGAGAAAGGUUUAUCGGCAAGAGAUGAGCCCGCGUUGGAUUAGCUAGUUGGUGGGGUAAAGGCCUACCAAGGCGACGAUCCAUAGCUGGUCUGAGAGGAUGAUCAGCCACAUUGGGACUGAGACACGGCCCAAACUCCUACGGGAGGCAGCAGUGGGGAAUAUUGGACAAUGGGCGCAAGCCUGAUCCAGCCAUGCCGCGUGAGUGGUGAAGGCCCUAGGGUUGUAAAGCUCUUUCACCGGAGAAGAUAAUGACGGUAUCCGGAGAAGAAGCCCCGGCUAACUUCGUGCCAGCCGCCGCGGUAA